rnacentral:misc_RNA from 1 species
UCGGUUCAUCUCACGUGUUCAAAAAUUUAAUUCAUAAGACAGUAUGGAAACACAAAUGGAAAAUAUUCCUGAGCGUGAGUAUUUAUGCACUAAACAAAUAAAGUCUUCGUUUAUUACCAUGAGAAAUUGCCCAGGUAUUCAAAGUGAAUCUGCUGGUAAAGCAUCCACUUGUGCUGGAUGCCCAAAUCAAAAAAUAUGUGAAUCUGGUGAAGCAAAAUUAGAAGAUCCAAAGAUAAUUGCUGGCAUUCAACAACGCAUGUUGAAUGUAAAACACAAGGUCCUUAUUCUCUCCGGGAAGGGUGGAGUAGGUAAAAGCACAAUAACUACCAUGAUAGCACGGGUGUUUGCCCAGGAUCUAGCCAAAAAUAUUGCUGUUAUGGAUGUUGAUAUUUGUGGCCCAUCAACUCCUCGAAUCAUGGGUGUUGAAGGUGAAACUGUUCACCAAAGUGGUUCAGGCUGGUCUCCCGUUUAUAUAGGUGAAAACUUAUCUCUUAUGUCUGUUGGACUACUACUGGGAAGCCCUGAUGAUGCAGUGAUUUGGAGAGGACCCAAGAAGAAUGGUUUGAUCAAACAGUUCCUUACUGAAGUUGACUGGGGAUCAUUAGAUUACUUGUUCAUGGAUACUCCUCCUGGAACAUCAGAUGAACACUUGUCGAUUGCGCAGUACAUGAUUCCUUGCCAACUUACAGGAGCUAUAAUCGUCACAUCACCCCAAGAGAUUUCGCUUUUGGAUGUUCGUAAAGAAAUAAAUUUUUGUAGAAAGGUCAAUAUUCCUAUAAUUGGCAUCGUUGAAAACAUGAGUUGGUUUGUGUGCCCAAAAUGUACCAAAGAAAGCAUAAUAUUUCCUGCUAGUACAGGGGGUGCGCGGCAAAUGGCAAGUGAGUUCCACUUGCCCUUCCUUGGUCAAAUUCCCCUUGAUCAUCGUCUAGCACAAUCAUGUGAUGAAGGAAAUGAUUUCUUCGAAGCAUAUUCUGAUUCAGCAACUGCUACAGCCUUUAUUGAUCUAGGCAAAGCGAUUGACGCGGAAAUAAGGAAACUGUGAUAUAUGCCGAGCUUCAGCUUCCUCAAGAAAAAUUCCUUAUGACUUCCUACGUUUGGCAUUUCGCUCACACAGAAUCCAUCAAAGAUGCCCAAACACUCUUUCGCCACCAGUCCAAGAGGUAUGGAUAUGAGAGCAUCAGGUAUUUUUCCGAUUCAGUUUAGGUUAUACUUAAAAAUAUUUGUCAUCUUAGGUUAAAUGUAGUCGUAAAGUGAAAAAUCAAAUUAUGUCUACGCCAUGA